CUAGAGAACUGUCCCUUAGAUAAAGUCACUGAAGAACUGGAGUGGUGGAGAAUCAAAGUCAAGAAGCAGAAGGCAGCUUGUAACUGCAGGAGCAGAAGAGAGUUCAUAACAGUUUCCACCAACUGUUCUUCAAAUCUGACACCACCUCCACUGACAUCAUUUGCCAUGCUUUGGCUGCAGAUUCCCUUUCACAUACUUGCAUCUCUCAAUUAAGAUACACACCUUUUUUGUUUUCCUCUAAAUUUUGCCCUACAAUACAUAAAAAUGUGUUUAUUGGAGAUUAAAAAAGAAAUCACUGAAUAAAAGUGGCAGAUCAGACCGUAUCUGUGAUGUCUUCAGGUUUGUUUUUUUAAACUGAUUUUGCUCAUGCAGCUUAUAUGUGCAGCCAUUCUUAUUUCUGCUAGGAGGUGCAGCUGACUACUUCAAACUGUACUUCAAUAUCUUGGCUCCACAAAAGUCAACAAUCAGUGGCAAAACUUAUUCAAGAACACCAAAAGCAUGUACCUGCAUAGAGAAUAG
rnacentral:lncRNA from 1 species